rnacentral:lncRNA from 1 species
UUUUAGUGAAAGUCCCAUAUUUUUUGGAUUAAUAUUAAAAUUAAUAUGAAUUAAUGAAAAUAAAGCAAUUAAAAUGAAAAUCAGAAAAUACAAAAAAAAAUGUGGACCACUUUAUCUCCCUCAUUAAUUGAGGUGGAAAAUCAAGUGGCUCCAAGCGCGCGUUCCAUGUGUUCCAAAGUCAACAGCGCAGCAUGGAUGGUAAUCAAAACCAACGUAUGAGAUUAAAAAAAAUUAGAAGGAUCAUGUGGUUCUGAGGCGUGCCAACACACCACCGGAGCCAGAGCUUCGAUCUUCUUCUUCGGUGGACCUCACCGGACUGGUCCACCCUCAACCAUCACCAAAAUGAAAAAGGAGGACAUGAAUUUAAAGUAAAAAUGCUCAGGAACUCGAAUUUGGCCUCAAUUUUGUCUAACUCCAAGUAUAUAGAAAGAUACAAGGAGUUGAAUUUUGAGGAUCAUGAUCUGAGUUGCUUCGAUUUGAGCUCAAAGCAACUCAAUCUUCUUGCCUAUAUUGGUAGGACUUCAGACAAUCAAAAAUCAACAAGAAUAGUGGAGGAUUGAGUGAGAAUCGAAGAGAUGAAAAAUUCAGAAAUUCACCUUCACUACAGCUUCAGAUGGACACGAUCUUGCUCUCAAUUGUUUGGCUUUGCUUCAGAUGCUUGAUGGAGUGGAAAUGGAUCAUAGAAGAAGAAGGACUCUUGGAGUUUAAAUCUCAAAAACAGUGGGAGAUUCAAACUCGAUUUUCAAUGAAAAUCACCAAGCUUAUUCUUUGAAUGUGAGGGUUUAGGGUUGCUGAUUCAAAUCUUGCGCGCCAGGGUCCAUAAUUUUGAGCAUGAAGGGUUCUAUUUAUACGCAAUGCAAUUGGUUUGACACCCUCCUUUCAAAAUUCCAAAAUAGAAAUUUGCCUUUUCAUGGAUGCAUGGGCGUGUGACAGGGCCAUGUAAUGAUGCAUUCAGGUCCAAAAAUGAGUGUAACCAAUGCUGAAGUCAUGUGGAAAGGCCAUGCAUUCGUGUGUGGAAAGUGGAACUUCAAAUCUUCCAAAUGGUCCUUCAACUUUAAGCCAUGCGAAAGUCAUUCACACUUUGUCCAAACGGGAUGAUUUUGGACUUUUUAGAAAGGUUAGAUCAAUAUGAACAAUUUUCAUGUUGAACACUUUUUCAUUUGAAGCUUGGAUCAUGAUGAAUUUUGAGGUAGAAGUUUGGAAAAUCAAACAUAUCAAAAAAAAUUCUAAGUAUCAAGCCAUAUGUUCACUUCUUCCAUCUUGGAUAACUUUUUCUAUAGACUUCAAAUGAGAAACUUUCCUUCAUCAAAGUUGUAGAUCUUCUAAAUACCUUCAACUUGGUCACAUAUUUUACCUCAUUUGGAUUUAGCAUGAAGGAGUUAUGCAUUUUAGAAGUUGAGGAAAAUCACUUGUUCAAUGGUAUUGGCCCAAAAUGACCUAUAAUGUUUCCUCAUAUCACAUGUAUUUUCAAGUUGAAUUUUCACUUACUCCAAACAUAAAAGUUGAAGUAGACAUAUUUUAUUUUAUCAUGAAACUUUAAUGGCUUUCAUAUCAUAAACAUUGAGCAAGUUAUGGCCUUAGGAAGUUGACCUCCAAAUUAGGGUUUAGACAAAAUGACAUAUAACCUUUCACCAUAAAAAUGAAUUUACAAGCAAAAAUAGAUCUAUACCUCAAAAUUAAAGUUGUUUGUAAUGUCAUUUAGAUUAAAUUUACUCUUGUAAUCAUUUUCAUAUGACAAACAUUGUAGGAGAUAGGGUCUAGGGAACCCCAGUUUUUAUCAGUUGACUUCCUCUGGUCAACCACCAUGAACCAACUUGCUAACUUGAUAUUCUCUUGACUUUUGGGACUCAUCAAGGAUCAUAAAUGCAUAUUAUGAUGGAGUGUGAAGUAUCCCUUGAAAUAUUUGAUCAAUUGUUGAAGAAGUCACACAAGAUACCCAGAUGAAUUAGGGUUUCCAAGGCAAACCAACUCCAAACUCUUGAUGAUUUCUUAAUUAAAAUAACAUGUGAAGAUCUUGAGGAUUCAUAUAUGAUACUUAGAGCCAUAGUAAACCAAUUCUUGAUUGAACUCCUUGCAAUGAGGGUCUUAAACUCUAGAUAUGAACUUGAUAGAUCAAAGGUGAGCAUGUGCACUAUCUACAAAAGAGUUACACUAUACAAUGACAUAUUUUUGAUAUUUUGGUUAGUAACAAUAAAGAAAAAUGAAAUAUGAUACAAUUAGGUGGUGCUUGGUGAUCUCUCCCAAUGCAAACCCAAUGAAUGAGGGGUAAGGAGGAAGCCAAAGUGUGAUCCCAAUGCUAAUGCAUAUGAUGAGAAGAGCACGAGGUGUCUUAGGGUCAAAAUUGGGGUCUUACAGUUACUAGUUGAUUAUUCAAUUAUUUAUUUAUUUAUAGAAUGUAUUUUAUUUAAAUGAACGAGAGACAUAAACAUUUUUUUUUAUGAUUGUACUUGCUAACGUUUAUAACUAUAUGCCUACGUACCUCCGUAUUAAGCGAAGUAUCAGAGUAUCACAGUUCGUCUUAAAAAUGUUGGUUGGGUUGUUAUUUUUAUCCCUUGAAAAUUCCUCACGCAUCGAGGAUGGAGAAAUACCUGAUUUUUUUUUUAAAAUGCCUCAAUACGCUAGGGUAGAGGUCUUAUUAUUUGGAGUAACUUUGAAUUGAUUUUAUUCCUUUAUCCCUCGCAAAAAUCUUAUUUUAAAUUACUUAGGAAAAUAAAAUAGGAGUCAUAGUUAUGUGAUAACCCCUUAUCCCGAUUUUAAUCAUGUUUUAAUCGUUGAUAACCCCUUUAUCCCAAAUUUAUCACAUGCCUUUAUCCCGUUUUAAUUUGAGGAUAUCAUUUAAUUUAAUAAUAAUAUAUUAAAUAUAAUAUAAUACAAAAAUAAAUUAAAUUAAACAUAAUACAAAUAAUUUAAAUAAGAUGUCAUAAGAUAUAUUUUUUUCUCGAUUUUAUCCCAUUUUACAUCUCUUAAACCCUAAUAAUUUCCCCCGAUUCUAUGCCUUAAUUCAUGAUUUAAUUAAUCCUAAUAUAAAUGAUAAAAAACAUAAUCAAUUAAAAUGUUAUACUACACUUAACUAAUUAGAUAAACAUGUCACAAAAAAAAUUAAAUAACAAAUUUUAUUUUUUAUUUGAAUUAAAAUUAAAUGGAUAACUCAUAAUUAAUAAUUAAUUAAGUAAUUAAUUAACUUAAAAAUUAAAUGGAUAAAUCAUAAUUAAUAAUUAAUUAAUUAAAAAUUAAAAAAACGAAGGGGGUGCAUUUUACCCUAGGUUAACAAAUGAGCUUAAGAAUGGGGUGUUAAUAGCAAAUGAAGAGAGGUCCAUUGGGUCCAGAAUCCUCCUGGGAGAGUCAAAGGUAGACUCUCAACCAGGAACGCUUGAUAUGUUGACUAGAGAGUCAACCAUAUCGAUCCAUUCACGUUGGAUGAGAUGAUCGGAGAAAGUCUUCCAGAUGGAGGGAUGAGAUUGAGGUCAAACAAAGGUGCAUUGUGGACUUACCCGCUCGGGAUGAGUCAAAGUAUGUUCAUCGCGUGGCCAUCAGGGGGGCACGCGUCUUAGAUCCAGCAACGAAGAGAGAGGGUAUAUGAGCGUCACCCCCUCACAAACUCUAAAUUUUCUCUCUUCUUUCUCUCUCUUCGCUCUGCUCUUCUCUCAACUCUCUCUAAACUCCCCCCUGAGCCACCCUUCUCCCACUGUGGUCCACUGACCGGACCACCACCUUCAACUGAAAUCUUCAAGUUCAUCAUGAACAUGAAGAACCCCCAACCCAAAAGUUGAUUCCCCGCCGCCCCUUCCCUAAAACUGUCGUGAGCCCUAAAUCUCUGGUUGAAGCUCAAACAAGAUCUUCAACCGAUGUUCAUCUGGGUGAUGAACAUCAACCUAAAACCCUUAGAUCUUAAGAACCCUCUCCCCAACCCUAUGAAUCCUAACCUGGGUUUGUGAUGAACCCUAACCCUACAUGGGAAGCCAAGAACCCUGGGGUUCAUAUGAUGAACCCUAAUCCUAACCUUGAUGAACUCUAACCCUAAGAAGUACCAAGAAACCCCAAAUUGAACCCUAAAUCACAGUGAUCCAAUCGAGAAACAUAAAUAUGCAAUUUUAAAAAAAAAGCAAAGGCAAAACACAUCCAACCAACCUACGGAGAUAAAAGGUAAUCACUUAGAAAUUAUUCUUUUCCCCUUUGUGUCUGUGUUGAUUUGACUCUUCCCUUCUCUAAUUCUUUUUCUUUGUUUUGGUGUGAGGUGCCACUGGACGGUAAAAGAGAACGAGCUUUAAAGAACUAGGGUUUUAAUGUAAAACCCUACUCUUAAUUGGAUAUAGCUUUUGUGAGGGUUCAGAGAUUGCAGAAGAAUCAACUUCUUAGGGUUUUAUUUUCUUUCCCCCUUUUUCAAUCCUAGACUUAGAUUUUUAUAGACUAGUUUUUAGGUUUAGAAUUUAAUUAGAUUGAUUCAAUUAGGAAGUUUUGUAUUAGGUUGAAUCAGAUUUGAUUUAGUUUGGAAAUAGAUUAGGUUUUACGAAUUGUAACUGAAAUUGUAAUGUAUUUGGUCCAAUGAUUUGUAAUUCAUGAUUGUAUGAAAUUAGAAAGUUUGGAUUGAGUUGAAAUUGCAUGUUUCUAUUUUAAUUAUGUGCGUGAAAUCAGGGGUUGAUUGAGGAAGGCGAUGAACAGGGUUUUGGGUCAAAAAUGGCCCGGUUCAAUGAUGGGUCUGGGUCACGUUAGAGCCAACUAAAGUGAGGACUUGGGUCUUACUUGUCCCAAUUGAGAAAGGCCUGAUCUGGGCUAACUUAAACAAAUGUAACAGAGGCCCAAAAAUAAUAACCCAAAGUACCAAAAAAUAAAAAAUAAAAGGAUAAAAACUGAUUAGUAAUAACUUAAUUCUAAUAUUAAUUAAUAAUAUUAAUAUUCUAAUAAUGAAAAAUAAUAAACUAAAUAAUAAUAUUCAUAAUAAUAAUAAUAACAUUAAUAAAUAAUAACAUUAAUAACUAAUAAUUUAAAUUUUAAAAAUAUAACUACUAAAUUUGAAUAAUUUUUAAAAAUUGAUCAAGACUAAUUAGUUUUAAAAGAUCCAAUUAAAAUACCAACAUCAACCCAAACCCACCUAAAACAACUUAAUAUUCUAAACAAAUUUGCAAAUAUCAAAAUAAGUUCAAUUAAUAUUUAAACACUUAUCAAUAAUCGAAGCUAAUCUCAGCCCUAAUGUUAUCCCUAAAACCUGAUUUAAUCAUAAAUGAACGAAUAUAAAACCAAAAAUUCUCAUGAAAAGUCAAAAUGGUCCCCCUUUGACUUUUUAUUUUUGGGGUUGACCCGAUGAAAAUAGAAAGAUUAGGUGGUCAAAAUAUGGGUUACGACAUAAAGAAUAAUGGAAAAUAUAAUAAAAUAAAUAAAAAUAAUUAUACAAAAUAACCAAUCAAAAAUAAAUAAUGAAAAAACAAAGUAAAAAGAAAAUAAAAAAGCUUGCAGAAAAGUAGUGAUGAAUGGUGUUAAAAAAAGAAGCUAAAAGUAUACGAGAAUCAAGAUGAGUCCAUGGCCCAAAACACACAGAAGACAAAAAAAAUAUGUCUGGUUUGGGCUUAGAGCUGCUAGGAUCGGGUCAACCCAAAGAGAAAAUGUACAAAAACCUAAGUUAAACGAGAGCAGAUUGAAAACAACAUGUCGGGCAACGUCUUCAGCUUUCCUAUUUCCUUUUUUUAGAAAACUCUCUCUCUCUCUCUCUCUCUCUCUCUCUCAUGUUGAGGUGACGGGCAAGGAUUGGCCAGCCCUAACGAACCAAUCCUCCUUUCAGUCAAACAAAUAACUUCCCUUUUUUAAGCUCUAUCAAAAUAAAAAGUGACACGUGGCAGCAAAAAACAAUAAAGAAAAAACAAAAAUAUAGGGUAUUGUGAUUGGUGGAAGGAAAAGCCAUGUCUGUUAAUUUUAAAACACGUAAAUAUCUCAUCUAUAAUUCAAAUAAUUUCAAAAAACAAAAGCAAGAAAAAUUUCUCUUUCUCCAACCGUAGAAAGAAAAACUCAAAAGAUCAUCUCUGAACAUUACUAUCUCUCUUCUUUCUCACGCUCCAUACUUACAAGAGAAACAAACAAACAUGUUUUAAUCUGAAAAAACUCAGAUCCAAUUCUUAAAAUCUUUUGCUAACUCGUUGUUCUUAGUUUUAUUCAAAACGGAAGCUAAAAAGAACCAUUCUUCAGAGAUAUACACUUUCACCAUUACCGAAUCAUAAGGAAAACAAAAGAAAAAAAAAAUGGUUAGUGUACAACAAGAAGCGAGCAACAACAACAAGGGUCCUUUUGAUUCUUCCUUGAUUUCCUUUAAGAUAUAGUUCGAAUUUACAUAUACAUUAAUCUAUAUUAUUAUUGUUUUGAUAUUACUCAGUGUGUGCGUUUUGGAUUGGAUUUAGAUUUUUUCAAGCAAAUUUCGAAUCAAACUCAAUUUCUCGAUCUCUAAAAUGAAUGCAAAAACUUUCUCACAAAAAAACAAAAACAAUUGUAGCACUAAAUGAAUACAAAGAAAGAAAGGUUUUGAAGAUAAAUUAUCGAACAUAAGAACGUAUAAGGCGGUGAGGUUCAUGUUUCGGUCCUCUCAUUCUACUCCCCAUUUACUGUUAGCUCUCUUCCUUCCUGUUUUCAUAGGUUUGUUAUUGACUUGAAAGUAGAAAGUGGUUAUGUAUGAUUUGAAAAGUUAUGAAUGAAGUUAAGGUGAUUAUAAUGUUAUGAGGAAGAAAGUAAUAUAUGGAAAUCAAUAGAUUAAUGGUAAAAAGAGGUUGUGGUUAUGGUGUUGAAGUAUGAAGAUUGUGGGAAGGUAAAAAAAGUUUGUGGUUAUGGUGAAUGAAGUUAUGGUGAUUAUAAUCAUUCUCAUACGAUAGGGAAUUUCUUUUCUGAUACGUAAAUCACUCGCAACAGAUUCAUCAGUUUUAACAUUUCCAUCUGAAUCCACAGAGUUCUUACCAUUAGUUUGUUAGGUUGAUCCAGAAAUAGCAACAAGAAUAUCCUUAUUCAGAAUGUUGGCAUUCUUCUUUAAGGUUAGAAAAAAUUUCAUUUUAGUUUGCCAAUGUUUAAAGUGAAAACCCUUAAAUUUGAAUGGUUUGUCAGAGACAGCGGCCACAAUGUUACCAAUAACAUCUUUGGUAGCCAUGACAUUUUUUGAAAUUGUCUUAAAAUUGUUGUUUCACGGUUUUGAAACUCAGUCACAGAAGAAAUUAUCGAGUCGAGUCGCAUACUAGACCACUCUCUUAAAAACGUUUCGCAUCACUGCCCAAAAGUAUUCAAAGCAAUCGAACUAUCGCGUUGUCCCCCGAAUACAACAACCUAGUUCAAUUAUACGAUCACUACUUGUAGGAUAUGUGAUGGUUUCAUAAAUACACCUUCUAAUGGUGUUGAACCACUCGAUGAUGGUGUGAAAACCACUCGUAGUAUCUAGAUAAACUAGUUGCAGAUGGCAUAGGCAACCCACCAUCUCCUUUUUGUUUCUUUCCACCAUGAAACAAAAAAAUUAUUUCAUAAAUUUAAAAAAGAAUCAAACCACUUAUCAUUUAGCCAUCCAUACAUCAAUCUAGCGCAACAAAAAAUAAAAAACAUAAAUAAAAGCAUUAGUAAAACUCUAAACUCUUCUAAAACAAAGUUAUUGCAACAAAGAUAAUAACCCCGUGAAGUUUAGUUCAAAUGAUACAAUUACUAAUAAUUUUAAAAUUCAAAGUUUACAUAGUGAAACCUCCAUCUGCAGCUAUAAUUUGUCCGGUUAUGUGUGAAGAAGCUGGAAGACAGAGAAAAGCAACCAAUCCUGAUAUGUCCUUAGAUUCUCCCAUCCGACCAAUCGGCGACUGAGACACUAUAUCUUUAGCGAUAUUAUCCACUCCGGUAGAUAAUCUCUAUAAAAAGAGAAAUUGCAAUAGAAAUUAUAUGAGCUUAAAAUAAUAGAGAAUAUAAACAUUAUAUCAAAAUAACAUCACAUGAUAUACAUUAUAUAAAAUGAAUUUAAUUGGAUUUUGUUGUUAUGCGAAUGCAUAUUCCAUGGGGCAUAAGUUCAAAUUUGGCAUGAUAAUAGAGUCUAUACAUAUCAAUAAGAACACCCUUUCCAAGAGUGGCAACUAGAUAAUCGAAUGUUAACACCGCCCAUGAGGGAACCAGAUCAGAAAGUCACCAGCCGACUAUACAACCAUUGGAACAAGUCCAAGAGCAACAAACGGCCUUACCAACAUAUAACUUUUAAGAAAAUAACAUAGUCAUACCCAUUAAUUCCUCUAAAUAUAGAAACUGUCUUACUAGAAAAAAUAGAUUUGCUACAGGGUUUCUUGAUGACUCACAUAAAUGAAUAUCAAAUUAAAGGAUUUCUUGAUGACUCACACAAAUGAAUAUCAAAUUAAAGUCAAACCAAUGCUAAACUUGAACCUAAUCCCUAAUCCCUAAAGUCUUAGAAUCUAGAACAAAGAAAUUAACUACUAAGGAAACUCCAAUCUACAUCCUAUUUGUCUUAAAAUCACAUAGCAAAUUAGAACAAGCACUUCAUAUCUGACAAACAGAUGACUGGUGGAUCUCAUUGAACCUUAACAGUACACACCACCCUUGGUGUUUUGUCACUACCAAGGGUCCAUGCCCUUGGAAAGAGAGUGUCCCUCAAUAGCGGAGACAAGGCUACUCAUUAGGCCAAACUCUUAUACAAAAAUACAUCUCCUCCCCUCCUAAAGUCGCAAACCCAGACUCCGUAUUUCUAAUAACCCAUACUUUUCAAUUGAAGAGAAUUUGUUAAGAAGUAUAAUAUAUUAACCUGCGAUAAUUAAAAUUUUACUAAAUACAAUUUAAUGUGUAUAUUGCUAUAAUCCUUCUAUAUUAACAACAAGUGUGUGUAUUCUAACAUAUAAGACAACCCCGUUUUUUAAGAAGCAAUCAACUAAUGAGAUAAAGUAAUGCAUUUUUAAUUUGUAACACAAGCAAACUAUCACAACUUGACAGUAAUGUUUGUUAGUUGAUUUUAUGCUUUACCAACUAUUUAAAAGGCUCUCUCUCUCUCAAUUUCCUAUAAUUCUCUCUAAAAUUUAUCCAUUUGCAAAUAACUUAAAACAUAAGUUAUCUAACAAAUUAGUAUCAAAGCCAAAUUCAAUCCUCAACCUCCAUCCAUGGAAAAUGGAAGUAAAACCUCCAAUCAAAACUCAACCAAUCUACUAGUGUUCAAUCUAGAACACUAUGAUAGAUGGUGUGCGUUGAUGAAAGUCGUAUUCAAAUUUCAAUAUGUGCUUGAAAUCAUGAAUGAUGAUGUCUUGGCAUUAGAGGCAAAUGUUGUUGAGGCACAAAGAACUAAUCAUCAUGAAAUGAUCAAGAAAGAUGGGAAAGGCUUAUUCUUAAUCAAUUAGUGUGUGGAUCAAAAUGUCUUUGAGAGAUAAUUGACCAAAAAACAACUAAAGACGCAUAGGAUACUUCCAAGAAGUUGUAUGGUGGAAAUGAGAAAUUAAAGAAAGUCAAGUUGCAAUCCUUGAGGAAAUAAUAUGAGAAUAUGAAGAUGAAUGAUGGUGACACAAUUGCGGAGUUCUUUUCAAGAUUUGGGGUUUGACCAAUCAAAUGAUGUUGUUUGGAGAUAUGAUAUAUAAAUUGAAGAAAAUGGAUAAGGUUUUAAGAGCUCUACCUACCAAGUUUGAUCACGUUAUUGUGGCUAUUGAAGAUUCCAAAGAUUUUUUUGAAAUUAAGCUCAAAUAAUUGCAAGCAUCUCUUAAAGCUCGUGAGUUAUGGCUGAAACAUAGAAAUUCAGAGGUGGUGUCUGAACAAGCUUUCCAGGCUAAAUUCUUCAAGAAAAUGAAAGAAGACUCCUCAAAGAACAAGAAAGGAAAAGAAAGGUGGAAGAAGAAGUGGAAUGAUAGUGAUGGUGUAGAAAAGAAAUCGAAAAGUUAGGGCAACACAAGCAAGAAUUAUGCUCUUUACAAUCAUAAAAUCAAAAGGAAGGUAAAUAUGAAGGAAGUCCAAUGCUACUGUUGUCAAAAGUUUGGACACUAUGCUAGGAAUUAUUACUCAACAAAGAAUCAAAUGGAAUGACAAGGGUAUAUCACAAUUUUCUCAUUCCAAAAGUAGAGACUCAAAAGAGGUCAUUUUAAUGGCUAAUAUACAGUUGUCUCAAGAAAAAACAAUGUUUGUUACAUUUGCUCAUAGUGCAACAAUCAUAUGCCUGAAAAUAAAAAUUGGUUCAUCAAGCUUGAUGGAUUGGUGAAGUUGUCCAUUAGAUUUGUAGGUAAUAUGGUCACAUUAUAAGGAAUGGGAAGAAUUCUUGUGAAGAAAAAGAAGGGAAAGAAGAAAGCAAGUGUGAUGUUAUGUAUGUUUUUUCUAUGGAAAACCACUUGAUCAACUUGGGUCAAUUCUUGGACAAAAACUACACAACGAGGCUGGAAGAUAAAAACUCAAGGUGUUUGAUUUAAGUUCCAAGCUAAUCUUGAAGGCACCCUUAUCAACCAACAGGACACUCAAGAUUAUGAUCAACAUGCUAGACCACCAAUGUAUUGCAUCAACCACAAUUGAAGAUCAAAAUUGGAAUUUGCAUUAGAGGUAUGUCCAUCUCAAUUUUAGGAUUCUCCUCCUAAUGCACAUGAAGAUGAUAUAUGGACUUCCCAAAAUCACAAUGUCAAAGAAGCUAUGUGAAGGAUGCUGCAUUGCCAAGGUAAGAAAGUAAUUCAAACAUGACUUGCCAAUGAAGUCAUAAUAAAAGUUAGAGAUUAUGCAUUUAAAUGUGUGUGGUCCUUUUGAAGUGAAGUCAAUAAGAGGUAAAUGCUACUUCUUAACAUUCAUAAAUGAAUUUAAUAGAUGCAUGCGGAUUUACUUGUUGGAGAACAAAAGUGAAGUGUUCACCAACUUCAAAAGGUUCAAGCUGCUAGUUGAAAAGCAGGAUGAAUAUGUCAUUAAAAGGUUGAGAACUGAUGGUGAUGGUGAGUACACCUCAAGUGAAUUUGCUCAGUUUUAUGAAGAAGUAAUGAAGCAUGAAGUUAUAUCACCUUACCCACCUCAACAUCAUGAUAUUUCUGAGAGAAAGAACAUAAGUAUUUUCAAUAGGGAAAGGAGUAUGCUUAAGGAAAAGUGUAUGCCAAACCUUUUCUGGAGUCUUCCACUCCUGUCUACAUCAUCAAUAAGUGUCCAACAAAGAAGCUGAACAGCAAGACACCUUAUGAAUCUUGGUCAGGUUUGAAACCAAGUGUUAGACACUUCAAUAUUUUUUGCUCAUUAUGUUACAGACAUGUACAUGAUCAACUCAGAAGGAAGCUUAGUGAUAUAGGCCAUGCUAUAAUCUUAGUUGGUUACCAUUCGAUAGGUGCAUACAAGUUAUUCUCUCCAUAUGAGAACAAGGUCGUAAAUAGUAGAUAUGUGGAAUUUUAUGAAAGCAAAGGAUGUAAUUGGUUGAGAGAUUUAAGUAAUUCAGUGCAAUAGGAUGAAGGUUCAGAAAAAUCAGAACCACUCUUUAAGAUGAUGCCCAAUGUGUAGAGACUGGUCUUAAGCUUGCACAACCACGGGAAGUGACGAGAUAAACAAAGGCCCAAAAUUAAUCAGUUAUAUUGAAUGAUUAUGAGAGAUUUUCUGUCAAUCCAUAAGAGAAAAUGGUGACUUAUUUGAAGAAGGCGUGAUGGAUGAAUCAAAAUCAAUUGAUCAUGUUCAAGGCAUGAAAGAUGAGAAUUGACAUGGCUCAAUGAAUGAAGAGUUCAAGGCCAUUAAAAAUAAAAAAAGUGUGAGUAUUGGUCAAGUAUUCAACUAAGAAAUCAAUACAUGUCUAGUGGGUUUAAAUAUUGAAGUUGCAGUCAAAAGUUGAGAUUUCCAAAUAUAAGGCAAGAUUGGUGGCAAAAGGGUUUCUUAAAAAAUACGAAACUGAUUUUAAUGAAGUCUAAGCACAUAGAAAAAAUGGAUGUGUUGUUUCCUUAGGAAUCAAGUUUGUAAAAAAGAUUGAGAAUUGAGUAUUGUAAAAUUGAGUUGCAAUUGGAAGAUAUCUUGACAAAAUCCUUGAAGGUCUUAAAAGGUUAAUGGAAGUGAGGAGUUAAGAGAAUCUGAAUUAAGAAGAGUAUUAGAAUAUAAUUUAGUUUCUUGGUACGGCUUUUGAUGACACUUUAAAAAUGUUGCACUUGUAACUUGCAAUACAAGCAAACUCUCACAACUUAUCAAUUAAGUUUGUUAGUUGAUUUUAGACUUUAUCAACUAUUUAAAAGUCUCUUCUCAUUGUACUUAUAUUAAUUUCAUUCUAAUAAUAUAUAUCUCUCAAUUUACUUUACUUCUUUCUAAAAAUUUCCAAAUAAUUCAUAUAAAAAAAAACUUGCAAAUGUUAAUGGUGUGUCAACAGUCAAACGUUUUAUUGUUACUUAUAAACUUGAAAUAAAUAUUUAUCCUUCUUUCUUUUACCCUACCAAAAUCUUAUCAAUAUGGAUAUCCCUCGCAUGGGUAUAAAUAAACAUCAACAAAUGACAUACCAUUGCAUUCUCUAAAAGUAAGGUCUUGACAGGUCCAGGUGCCACAACAUUAGCACGAACAUUAUCCUUUGCCCAUUCCAAUGCUACGUUUUUAGUAAACUGAUUCAUAGCUCCUACAUAGAUUUUUGUUAUGUUGAAAAUACUAAUCAUCUUCUACAAUUCAAUUCCAUGUUAAAGAAUACAUAUAUGCAUAUAAACAAACACACCUUUAGAAGCUGCAUAGGCAGAAGAAAAUUCAAAGGCUUUCAGAGCUGCAAUUGAGGAUAUGAAUACUAUGCUUCCAUAUCCAGAUUCUUUUAGAAGUGAAUGUGCAAGUUGACACAAAUGGUAACCAGACACAAAAUUGGUACUCAUUAUAGUUGUCACAUCUUCAUUGGUGUAGUCUAAAAUAGGUUUAGGAGUAAAUGUUCCAGCAUUAUUUACCUAUCAAUAUAAAUAUUUAAAGAAAAAUUAAGAGUGAAAUUAUUUAUUAUUUUUAAAAUCUAAUUCGAAUGAUAAGUUCUUACUAGAAUAUUGAGUUUUCCAUUAAACACCGAAGCAACAGUUUCCAUUAAUUUUUCACGUUGGUCACGGAAUAGUAAAUCACAUACUGAUCCUGUCACGUUAAAUCCUUUAUUUUUCCACUCUUCCAAACAUUUGUUAAUAUCAUCUUGAUUACGUGAACAUAUAUGCACAGCUGCUCCAAAUUCUGCUAACUCUUCGACAAUUGUGUACCUAAUUCAUAACACAAAAGGCAGAAAAAAAAUUAAAAGAUAAAUUGCAUGUUGUCACAGCCACAGGAGAUAAAAUUGUACUAUUAAAAAACUGACCCUAUGCCUCGGGUUCCACCAGUCACUAGAGCUGUCAUUCCUUGGAGUGACCAUCUUUUAUCUUUGAAGCUGCUCAACUUUGUUUCUGCCAUUUUUCUUGUUACUAGUUAAUUAAUCAGUGCGUUUUGGUUGUGAUUUUGAAAGAAAAAAUAAGAAAUAUAUUCAUGGACAAGAGGAAUGUGGACAAACAGUCGGACAAAAUUUUUGAUAUGUACGAAGUUCAUGUAACAAAUGUGUGGUCGAAAAAUAUGUAGGUAGAAUACAAGAUUAAUCAUCCAAAAACUUAUGCAUGUCUGAGAACAUUCUAGGUUUUAUUAAAUCCUCAAUAUAGUAUAUAAAACUAAAUUAUUAACAGUGUACAUUUUAAACUAAUUAUACCUAGUUUUAGUGUUUAAGUAACAAAAUAUGUCAUUGAAAGUAUCCCAUUUUUUCUCACGAUUGAAAUACUGAUUGAUGUGAAAAUUUAUUUCAUCAUAAGUUCGAAUUCCAACAAUAGUAUUUUUGCAUUUUCAAAAUGACGCAUUCCACUAACUUUACUCCAUGGUUCAAAUACAAACCAAGAUGAAUAGCUUAACUUUUUGUCACGGUUGUGCCUUUAACUCGAUGGAUAGGUUUUAGGGAUAAUUUUUUCUCUUCCACUUUUAACCGUGGAAAAAUGUAUUGUAUCUUCUAUCACUUUUAUUGUGUUCUUUAUAUAUUGAGAUGAACGGAAUUUAUUUUAAAGGAUAAAUAUUUGUUUUUUUAUAAUAAUUUAAGUAUAUCAUAAAAACAUAAUCAUUUGUUUAACAAAGAAGGAAUUGUAUCAUCUAGAGAAGAAUCGCAACACAAAAAAGGUUAUGUUUAGUGAUAUUUGUGGUAAACAAUCAUAAGUUUUAAUUCACUUACAUGAUAAAACUCGAAAAAAUCCUAUGACAUAUUGUGUAGAAACAAUUAGAGAAAAGGUGUCCAUGCUUAAUCACUUAGUGUUUGAAUGUAAACAAUUUGAGGAAAACUUCAGAAAAUAUUCAAGCAUAAUUGUUAGAAGAUAAAGGAAAUGAUAAAAAAAUGAAAUGAAAUGUUUAAGUUAAAAAUGGGACGCAUAUUUAUACAUUUUCUCACGAAUUCACUAUCUUUGUAACUUGGAUGUGAGAAUUCGAUAGAGACUAAUAAUAAAAAUUGCAAACCCUGGCUACAAAGAUUAAAUAAACUUAUAUAUAAGUACAUCAGUAACUAUCGAAAACGGUCAAAUCUCCAGCAUUCGACAUGUAUAAUUCUACAUGACUGUAUGUCCUCUUCACUGCUUCUAUGUGUCUUCAAUCUUUGAGGUGCAACAAAAUUGCCACUUCCGUCGAGAAAAAUUCACAAAUCCUUCAACUACUGUUUUCGUAAAUCCUUAGUCGAAGCUUGCAAUCUUGGUGUUGAACCAUGUUUCAAUUACUUGCACUUAGCCUAUGUAUUUAUCUCACCCCCUUUUUCCUCUUGGACUUUUAAUCGUGGAGAAAUGUAUUGCAUCUUAUAUCACUUUUACUGUAGUCUUUAUAUGUUGGGAUGAAUGAAAUUUAUUUUAAAGGAUAAAUAUUUGUUUUUUUAAUAAUAACUAGAUUUAGACCCGCGCGAUUAAUUAAUUUUUAUUUGUUUUAUAUCGAGUUUUAAUUAUGUUAAGAAUUUUUAUUUAGUAAAUAUGGACAACAAAUUUAUAUUAUAAUAAUUUAUGAAUUGUAAUUGAGACAAUGAUAUGAAUUAAUCAAAAAUAAAAAAAAUGUAUGUUUGUAAGUUGAGAAUGGCAUACAAGAUUUUACUUUGUAAUUUUAAAUAAUUUUAAGAGAUAUCAUUAAUGAUUUAUUUUUUAUUUUGAUUCUAAUGUAUUUUUUUAAUAUUUCUCUCUCUUUUAUAUAUUUUAUUAUAAGUUAUUAAAGAUAUGUAUUCACUUUUAGCUUUAAAUGAAAAUUAAUUAUUAUUUUCAAUUAUUAUCGAAUAAAGCGUUCAAUAGCUUUACAAAUUUAUUUGUAUAACGUCCAAUUUUUGUUAUACGUGAGAAAUUCAGAAUUUUAUUGUUUGUUUUUAAUUUAUUUGUGUGAUAUUACAUUCUCUAUUAUAGUUCUAGAUAAAUUGAGACUAAUUUAACCUUGUGAAAUUAUGAAAUAUAUAGUUUAACAUUAAAAGUAUUUUUCAAGGUUUUUUUAUUGCUCUAAUUUUAAGAGAAAAAAAAUAUUUUAAAGAGUGUGGAUCUUUUUCAAAUUACAAAUAAUACAAAUAGUUUGAGUAAUUGUAAAGAGAUGAACCCCGUACUAUUUAUCAAUAUGCAAUAAAAGAAUAUAUGGAUUGUAUCAUAUUUAAACUUUUGCAAUGUGAUUUUAAAAUUAAAAUAGAAACAAAGUAAAUACAUAUGAUUUUAAUAAUUUAAUUUAUAUUUUUUAAAAUUUAAUAUAAUUUAAAUUAAAUAUAUUUAUAUGAUUUAUAAAUUUUGUAUGUUAAGUAUAUAUUUCUUAAAAUAUAUCAAAUAUAAUUUAUCUCUAUCUCUUUUUUAUUAAUUUUUAUUUUAUCUAUUUUUAUGCAUUUAUCUCUUUUUUAUCUUUUAUUAUAAUAUAUAUAUAAAUAGAUUAAUAUAUUAUAUAAUCUAUUUUUAUGCACUUAUCUCUUUUUUUAUCUUAUAUUAUGAUAUAUUUUAUCUCUUUCUUAUUAUAUUUUAAUUUAUUUUUAUUUUUUGUUUUAAAAUUAUAUGUUAAAUCUAAUAAGUUAUUUAAAUAUUAGUAUUUUUUAUUGUAAAAUAUAUGAUGAAGAAGUAUUAUAUUAUUUUUUUUUAGAAAAUUGAAAGAUUCUUAAAUUAUUUUUGAGACACUAAAUAAAAAAUAAUCAAUUUUUUUUUCAUUAUUAUAAUUCAGAAAUUACUGUAAGACAAAUAUGAAUGGUAUUUUAUAAAGUUUAUGAAAGUAAUAUAUGAGCAGAUAAGAUAAGCUCUAUUUUGAAAAAUUAUUCGCUGAGAUUUAAUAAAAAUUUAAUUAUAUUUGUCUUAUAAUUACAUUAUUAAAAGUAAUAAUAAUAAAUUUAUUGUGAGUCAAUCAUUAAGAUGUUUUUUGAAAUAAACAAAGUUAAUACUUAAAUAUCACAUUAUUUUAUUUUUGUAUUAGUCAGAAUUCAAAUCGAAAAUCUUUUAUAGAGAGUAACAAUAUGUUUUGAUCUUUUAAAAAUUGAAGAUGGAUUUUGAGAGAUGUCACAUGGAAAAAUAAAUGAUGUGACAUAAAAGAAAUUGAAGUGUCGCAAGAUUGUUUGAUACACUAGAUUUAAAAUAUAUAAAUAGAUAGGUUCCACAUAUAGGAAGUUAAAUGAUGUGGCACAAAAGAAGUUAAAUGUCGCAAGAUAGUUUGAUGCACUUGAUUUUAUAUAUAUAUAUAUAUAUAUAUAUAUAUAUAUAUUUAUUUAUUUUUAUAAUUCAGAAAUUACUAUGAGAAAAAUAUGAAUAGUAUUUUAUAAAUUUUAUAAAAAUAAUAUAUAUGAGCAAAUAAGUUGAAUGUUUAAAAAUUAUUCGUUGAGAUUUAAUAAAAAUUUAAAUAUAUUUGUCUUAUAAUAUAUUUUAUUGAAAAUGAUAAUAAUAAAUUUAUUAUGAGUAAAUGAUUAUGAUAUUUUUUUGAAAUAAACAAAGUUAAUACUCAAAUAUCAUAUUAUUGUAUUUUUGUAUUUGUGAGAAUUGGAACCCAACAUCUUUUAUAGAGAGUAACAAUAUGUUUUGAUUGUUAACCGUGGAGAAAUGUAUUGUAUCUUAUACCACUUUUAACGCGCUCUUUAUAUGUUGUGAUGAAAGAAAUUUAUUUUAAAGGAUAAAUGUUUAUUUUUUAUAAUAAUUUAAGUAUAUCAUAAAAACAUAAUGAUUUAUUCAAAGAAGAAGUUGUAUCAUCUAGAGAAGAAUAGCAUCCCAAAAAGAAAAAGAAAAGUUAUGUUUACCGAUGUUUUUGGUAAACAAUCACAACUUUUAAUUCACUAACAUGAUUAAAUUAAAAAAAAACAUAUUAAAUAUUGUGUAGAAACGGUCAGAGAAAAAUUGUUCAUGCUUAACCACUCAGUGUUUGAAUGUCAGGGCCGACCCUGUGGGUGUGUGAGGUGUGUGACCGCAAAGGGCCUCAAAAAUUAUGGGGCCUCAAAUACUAAAAAUAAAUCAAAUAUUUAUUAUAUACAUAGUUUAUUAAAUACAUGUUUGAUGUUUAUGUAGUGACCUGAUGAAACUGUAUCAAUGUUUUGAUGGUCAUGGCCUUAGUUCAAUUCUACCAUUCUAAAAUCUUGAUCUACUUUAUUUUACAAAAGUGCAAUAGGAAGGAAUAUAGUUUAACCUUUUCAUUAUACAAACUAUAGAACAAAGAGAAUAGUCACUAUUUAAUUAUUUUAAAUUUUUUAAAUAAUAUUAAAGAUCAAUCAUAUAACUCAUUCAUUUAUUAUUACAUUUUUAUGAUAAAUUAUCAUACAAUAUUAUUUGUGAAUCAAUGUUUUUUAUAUAGAAAGAAAUAUAACUUUUCUAAAGAUAUAUUAUUAUUGAAUUUUAUUUUUAUAAUCAUUUUUUAUUAUAUCUUUUAAUAUUGUUUACAAUUUAAAUAAAAAUUUAAUUUCUUUUUUCAAUAAUUUUAUUUUAGAGUUCAACAUGAAAGAUUAGAUCAGGGCCUCGAAAUGUUUUGGGGCGGCCCUGUUGAAUGUAAACAAUUUCAGGAAAAUAUCAGAAAGUAUAAAUGCAUGAUUGUUAGAAGAUAAAGGAAAUGAUAAAAGAAAUGAAGUGAAAUGCUUAAGUUAAAAAUUGGGAGCAUAUUUAUAUAUUUUCUUACAAAUUCACUAUCUUUGUAACUUGGAUGUUAGAAUUCUAUAGAGACUAAUAAUGAAAUUUGUGAUCCUUGUUACAGAGAUUAAAUCAACUUAUAUACAAGUACAUCAGUAACCAUGGAAAAUGAUCAAAUCUCCAGCAUUUGACAUAUAUAUUGCUACAUGGCCUUCUAUCCUCUUCAUUGCUUCCACGUGUCUUUAAUCUUUGAACUGCAACAAAAUUGCCAGUUUUGUCGAGAAAAAUUUACAAGUCCUUCAACUACCUCUGUCGAGAAUCCUUAGUUGAAUCUUGUAAUCUUUGUGUCGAACCAUGUUUCAAUUACUUACGCAGCCUAUGGAUUUAUCUCACUCACUUUUUCCUCUUGGAUUUUUAACAGUGGAGAAAUGUAUUGUAUCUUAUAUCACUUUAACUAUGCUCUUUAUAUGUUGGAUGAAAGAAAUUUAUCUUAAAGGAAAAAUGUUUGUUUUGUUUAUAAUAAUUUAAGUAUAUCAUAAAAACAUAAUCAUUUGUUCAACAAAGAAAAAAUUGUAUCAUCUAGAGAAUAAUUGCAACCCAAAAAGAAAAAGAUUAUGUUUAUCGAUGUUUUUGAUAAACAAUCACAACUUUUAAUUCACUUACAUGAUUAAACUCGAAAAAAUCAUAUGACAUAUUAUGUAGAAACAGUUAGAGAAAAGGUGUUCAUGCUUAACCACUCAGUGUUUGAAUGUAAACAAUUUCAGGAAAAUAUCAGAAAGUAUAAAUGCAUAAUUUUAAGAAGAUAAAGGAAAUGAUAAAAGAAAUCAAAUGAAAUGCUUACGUUAAAAAUGGGGAGCAUAUUUAUAUAUUUUCUCACAAAUUUACUAUCUUUGUAACUUGGAUGUUAGAAUUCUAUAGAGACUAAUAAUAAAAAUUGCGAACCCUGACUAUAGAGAUUAAAUCAACUUAUAUACAAGUACUUCAGUAACUAUCAAAAACGGUCAAAUCUCCAGUAUUUGACAUCUAUAAUUCUACAUGGCCUUAUGUCCUCAUCAUUGCUUCCAUGUGUCUUCUAUCUUUGAAGUGCAACAAAACUGCCACUUCCUUCAAGAAAAAUUCACAAGUCCUUCAACUACUGUUAUCGUAAAUCCUUAGUCGAAGCUUGCAAUCUUGGUGUUGAACCAUGUUUCAAUUACUUGCUCUUAGCCUAUGUAUUUAUCUCACCCCCUUUUUCCUCUUGGACUUUUAAUCGUGGAGAAAUGUAAAUUUAUUUUAAAGGAUAAAUGUUUUUUUUUAAGAAUAACUAGAUUUAGACCCGUGCGAUUCACGACUGUUAAUUAAUUUUUAUUUGUUUUGUAUCGAGUUUUAAUUAUGUUAAGAAUUUUUAUAUAGUAAAUAUGGACAACAAAUUUAUAUUAUAAUAAUUUAUGAAUUAUACUUGAGACAAUGAUAUGAAUUAAUCACAAAUAAAAAAAUAUAUGUUUGUAAGUUGAGAGUGGCAUAAAAGAUUUUACUUUGCACUUUUAAAUAAUUUUAAGAGAUAUCAUUAAUGGUUUAUUUUUUAUUUUGAUUCUAAUGUAUUUUUUUAAUAUUUUUCUAUCUUUUAGAUAUUUUAUUGUAAGUUGUUAAAGAUAUGUAUUCAUUUUUAGCCUUAAAUGAAAAUUACUUUAUUUUCAAAUAUUAUCGAAUAAAGCGUUCAAUAGCUUUACCAAUUUAUUUGUAUAACGUCCAAUUUUAGUUAUACGUGAGAAAUUCAGAAUUUUUUAUUUGGUUUUAAUUUAUAUGUGUGAUAUUAUGAGAAAAGUAUAUAAAAUAGAUGUAUAAAUUCGUUAAAGAGUGAUGCAUCAUCUAUUAUAGUUCUAGAUAAAUUGAGACUAAUUUAACUUUCUGAAAUUACGAAAUAUAUAGUUUAACAUUAAAAGUAUUUUUCAAGAUUUUUUUAUUGCUCUAAUUUUAAGAGGAAAACAAUACUUUAAAGUGUGUGGAUCUGAGCAUAUUUUUUAUUUUUGAAAUUAUGAAUAAUACAUUUAGUUGGAGUAAUUGUAAAGAGUUGAACCCCAUACUAUUUAUCAAUAUGCAAUAAAAGAAUAUAUGUAUUGUAUCAUAUUUAAACUUUUGCAAUAUGAUUUUAAAAUUAAAAUAUAAACAAAGUAAAUACAUAUUUUUUUAAAAAAUAUUUUUUAAUAAUUUAAUUUAUAUAUUGAAUUAAAUUUUUAUAUUUUAAAAUUUAAUAUAAUUUUAAUUAAAUUUAUUUAUAAUAUUUAUAAAUUUUGUAUGUUAAGUAUAUAUCUCUUAAAAUAUAUUAAAUAUAAUUUAUCAAUAUCUCUUUUUUAUUAAGUUUUCUUUUAUCUAUUUUUAUGCAUUUAUCUCUCUUUUAUCUUAUAUUAUAAUAUAUAUAUAUAUAUAUAUAUAUAUAUAUAUAUAUAUAUAUNAUUUAAAAUUUCUCAUAUGGGUCUAUCUAUUUACUCAUAUAUAUCUACCAUAUACUCAUAUCUAUAAUAUACUAUACUACCUAUAUAUAUAUAUUAAACCCAAUGUAUCAAACUACUUAGACAUUCAAUCUUCACUCUUUCACAUCCCGCCACCUUCCUUCUUUUUUCCAUCCGUGGCAAUCGUAUCUGAAAAUUUAUCUCAUUUUCAAAGAUCAAAAACUUUAUCCUUACAAUAAACUUUUUUCAUCCGCACAACUCACAUCACCCCACCACGCACGUGCACGUAAAAGUGAUAUAAGCAUAACAUACAUUUCUACACCGGUUAAAUGCUCCAAGAGGACACACACGCCGGUGAGAUACAAUACAUAGGCUAAGCGGAUAAUCUGAAACAUGGUUCGACACCAAUUACGAGAUUCGCUAAGGAAUUCUCGACAAAGGUAAGUUAAGGACUUGUGAAAUUUUCCUUCGACAGAAGUGUGAAUUUUGUUCCGUUCAAAGAUUGAAGACACAUGGAAGCAUGACAGAGGAUAGAAGCCAUGUAGCACUAUACAUGUCAAUGCUAGAGAUUUGACCGGUUUUCCAUGGUUACUCGAUUGUACUUCUAAUAUAAGUUUGAUUUAAUCACCUGUAACAAGCAUUCACAAUUUUCAAUUAUUGUCUUAUUGAAUUCUAACAUCCAAGUUACAAAGAUUAGUCGAAUUUUUUGAGAAAAUAUAUAGAAUAGAGCUCCCCAGUUUUUUAAUCUAAGCAUUUUACUUCAUUUAUUUUUAUCAUUUCCUUUGAUCUCUAACAAUUAUCCUUUAUACUUUCUGAUUUUUCUCAAAAAUUUACAUUCAAACACUGACUGGUUAAGCAUGAAAAACUAUUCUCUAACCGUUCUUUAAAUAUUUAAUAUGAUUUUUUUUUCGAGUUAAUGCAUGUAAGUGAAUUAAAAGUUGUGAUUGUUUUAAGCCAAAAACAUCGAUAUACAUAACUUUUUUCUUUUUGGGAUGCAAUUCUUCACUCGAUAACAUUUUCUUCUUUGUUGAACCAAAUGAUUAUGUUAUUUUAUGAUAUAUGUAAUUUACUAUAAAAAAACAAAUAUUUAUCCAUUAAAAUAAAUUUCUUUUUCAAUCCAACAUAUAAAAAGCGUAGUUAAAGUGAUAUAAGAUAAUACAUUUUCUCCACGGUUUAAAGUCCAAGAGGAAAAAGGGGGUGAGAUAAAUAACAUAGCGUAAACGCAAGUAAUUGAACAUGGUUUGACACCAAGAUUACAAGAUUCGACUAAGGAUUCUCGACAACGGAUAGUUUGAAGGACUUGUAAAUUUUUUCUUGACAAAACUGGCUAAUUGUUGUGCAGUUCAAAGAUUCGAGAGACAACGUGGAAGCAAUGAAGAGGAUAGAAGGUCAAUGUUAGCACUAUACAUGUUCAAAGCGGGAGAUUUUUAGCCAUUUUUCAUGGUUCUGACUGUACUUGUAUAUAAGUUGAUUUACUCUCCUGUAACCAGGUUCACAAUUUUAUUAUUCGUCUCUAUAGAAUCUACCAUCCAAGUUAAAACGAUAGUGAAUUUAUGAUAGAAAUUUAAAUAUGCUCCUCCGCAUUUUCUUAAAUAAGCAUUUCACUUCAUUUUUAUUUCAUUUCCUGAUCUUCUCAAUUCAACAUUUAUCUUUCUGAUAUUUCCUUCAAAUUGUUUACAAUCACAACAGUGGAGUGGUUCAGCGAUAACAAUUUUUCCUCAAACCGUUUCUACAGCAAUAUGUCAUAUGAUAUUUUCGAGUGUUAAUCAGUAUAGUGUAUUAAAGUUGUGAUUGUUUACCAACAAGCAUCGGUAAACAUAACCUUUUUUCUUUGGGGAUGCAAUCUUCUAUAGAUCUAUAACAUUUUUCAUUGUUGAAUAAUGACUUAUGUUUGUUGAUAUAACUUAUAAUUAUAUAAAAAACAAACAUUUAUCCUUUAAAAUAAACUUCUUUUAUUCCCCAACAUAUAAAAAGAGUGUAGUAAAAGUGAUUAAGAUACAUACUUUUCCAUGGUUACAAAGUCCAAGAGCGAAAAAGGCGUGAGAUAAUACAUAGGCUAAGCGUAACGAAUACAUUGAACAUGGGUUCGAACCCAAUAUUAACGAUCGUUAGAUUCUCGACGAACAGGUAUUUAGGACUUGUGAUUUUUCCUCGACAACAGUGGGACCUUGUUGGCAGUUCAAAGAUUUAGACCAAGAAGCAAUGAAAACAGGUAGAAGCCAUCGUAGAACAUCAAUAUCAAUCAUGGAGACAUUGCACGCUUUUCCAUGCGUUAUGAUGUCUGUAUAGUAAGUUCGAUUUUAAAUGUUUGUACAUUGCGUUCGCAAAUUUCAUUACUUGUUUUAUAGACUUACUCAAUACAACGAUAUGUAAAUUUGUGAGAAAAUGAUAAAUAGCUCUCCCAUUUUUAACUUUAGCAUUUCACUUCAUUUCUUUUAUCAUUCCUUUAAUCUUCUAUUGAUUACGACAUUUAUCUUUAUGAUAUUUCCUCUUGCUGUUACAGUCAACACCGUGUGGUUAGGCAUGCAACGUUUCUCUCUUAACUGUUUUUUUUUCUUACUUUUAAUAGUAAUAUGAUUUUUUCAAGUUUAAUCAUGUAGUCAUGAAUUAAAAGUCUGUGAUUGUUUACCAAAACAUGAUAAAACAAUUAACCUUUUUUCUUUUAGGAUGCAAUUCUCUCUAGAUGAUACAAUUUUAUCUAGGUCGAACAAAUGAUAUGUUUAUUGUAGAUAUACUUAAAUAUCUAUAAAAACACACUUCAUCCUAAAAUAAUUUUCUUUCAUCCAACAUUAUAAAGAGCCAUAGUAAAAAGGAUAAUAAGAUACAAUACAAUUUCUCAAGUUAACGAGUUCAAGGACGAAAAAGGGGUGAGAUAAAUACAUAGGCUAAGUGCAAGUUAACUGAAACUGGUUCCGACACCAAAGAUUACAGAUCGACUAAGGAUUCUCGACAAAACUGUUGAAAGACUUGUGACAUUUUUCUCGACAGAGUGGGAAUUUUGUUGCAGUUCAAGAUUGACUACACAUGGAAGCAAUGAAAGUGACAAAAGGCCAUGUAGCAUAUACAUGUCAAAUACUGGAGAUUGACCAUUUCCAUGGGUUACUGAUAUACUUAAUUAUAAGUUUAUUUAAUCUAUGGUUACAAGUGUCCGUUAAUUUUCAUUAUUAGUCUCUAUAGAAUUCUACCAUCCAAGUUAGCAAAGUAUGUGAAUUUAUGGACACAUAUAUAAUAUGCUCCCCAUUUUUAACUUAAGAAGCAUUUACUUCAUUUCUUUUAUCAUUUCCUUUAUCUUCUAACAAUUAUGAUUCUGUACUUUCUGAUAUUUUCUUCAAUUGUUUACAUUCAACCACGAGUGGUUAAGCAUGAAUAAUUUUUCUAAAAACCGUUUUUCACCCAAAUAUGUAUAUGAUUUUUUCGAGUUUAAUCAUUAACUGAAUUAAAAGUUGUGAUUGUUACCAAAAACAUCGUAAACAUAACUUUUUCUUUUUGGGUACAAUUCUUCUUAGAUGAUACAAUUUAUUCAUUGUUGAACAAAUGGAUUAUGUUUUUUAGUAUACUUAAAUUAUUAUAAAAAAACAAACAUUUAUCCUUUAAAAAUAAUUUCUUUCAUCUAACAUAUAAAUAGCGUAUUAAAGUGCGUAUAAGAUACGUACAUUUCUCCAGGGUUAAAGUCCCAGAGGGAAAAAGGAAUGAGAUAAAUACAUAGCUAAGCGAAGUAAUUGAAACGGGGUUCGAAACCAAGAUUACAAGAUUCGACUUCAGAUCUUACAAAGUAGUUGAGACUUGUGAAUUUUUCUCGACAGAAGUGGCAUUUGGUUGCAGUUCAAAGAUUUGAAGACACGUCGGAAGCAAUAAAGAGAUAGAAGUCCAUGUAGCAAUAUACAGUCAAAGGUGGAGAUUUGACCGUUUCCAUGGUUACUGAUGUAUUGUUAUAAGUUUAUUUAAUCUCGCUGUACAGUUUUGCAAUUCAUUAUUAGUCUCUAUAGAUUCUACAAUGCCAAGUUAACAAAGUUAGUGAAUUGUGAGAAAAUAUAUAAUUAUAGUUCCCCAUUUUUAACUUAAGCAUUUCACUUCAUUUUUUACCAUUUCCUUUAUUUCUAACAAUUUACGCUUUAUGUUUCUCGAAUUUUCCUCCAAUAGAUUACACUUCAAACAUUAGUGUUAAGCAUGAACAAUUUUCUCUGCGUUUUUCUACACAUAUGUAAUAUGGUUUAUAUCGAUCCUAAUCAUGUAGUGAUUAAAAGUUGUGAUUGUUUUUACAAAAACAUCGGUAAACAUAACUUUUUUUUUCUUUUUGGAUGCUAUUCUUCUCUAGAUGAUAUAAUUUCUUUCUUUGUGACAAUGAUUAAUGUCUUUACUGAUGAUACUUAAAUUAUAUAAAAACCAAACAUUCAUCCUUUAAAAUAAAUUUCUUUCAUCCCAACAUAUAAGAGUGCAUGUUAAAAGUGGUAUAAGAUACAAUUAUAUUUCUCCACGUUACAAUCAAAACUAUAUUGGUUUACUUCUCUAUAAAGCGGCUCGUUGGAUUCAAUCUGGCCAGAUACAAAAUACAUAAUGUGAUAUUUGAAUAAUUAACUUUGUUUUAUUUAAAAAUUCCAUAAUUUAAUUUCCUCAUAACAAAAUUAGUAUUUUACUUUUUAAUUAAAUAUAUUAUAAGACAACUUAAUUAAUUUUUGCCUAAAUCUCACGAUAAUUUUCAAUGUGCAACUUAUCUGCUCAUAUAUAUUAUUUUCAUAUACUUUAUAAAAUACUAUUCAUAUUUUCUCUCCGUAUUUCUGAAUUAUAAAAUGAGUAAUAUAUAUAUAUAUAUGAUAAUAAUAUAUUAAAUAAUAUAAUAUAUAUAUAUUAUAUAUAUUAUAUAAUAUAAUAUAUAUAAAAAAAAUUAGAUCAAGUGCAAAUAAACUAUUUUGCAACACUUCAACUUCUUUUGUGCCACAUCAUUUAAUUUCCACAUGUGGAAUCUUUUAUUUUUAUAUAUAUUAAUCCAGUGUCAUCAAACUAUCUUGCGACACUUCAAUUUCUUUUAUGCACAUCAUUUAUUUUCCACGUGGCAACUCUCAAAUUCAUCUCAAUUUUCAAAAGAAUCAAAACAUAUUGUUACUCUCUAUAAAAGGUUUUCGGUUUGAAAUUUACCUAUACAAAAAUAACAAUAAUGUGAUAUUUAAGUAUAACCUUGUUUAUUUCAAAACAUCAUAUGAUUUACUCACUAUAAAUUUAUUAUUAUUAUUUUUAAUAAUGUAAAUUAUAUAACCAAAUAUAAAUAUUUUUUUUAUUAAUCUCAGCGAAUAAGUUUUCAAAAUACAACUUACCUGCUCAUAUUUUAUUUUUAUAAACUUUAUAAAAUACUAUUAUAUUUGUCUUCCAGUAAUUUUAAUAAUAAAAAUGAAAAAAAAUUGUGUUUAUCUUUUAUUUUGUGUCUCACAAUAAUUAGAACUUUCAAUUUUCUAAAAUAAAUAAUAUAGUACUUUUCAUCAUAUAUUACAAUAAAAAUACUAAAUUUAUAAUAAUAUAUUAGAUUUAACAUAUAAUUUUAAAACAAAAAUUAAAUAAAUUAAAAUAUAAUAAAAAAGAGAUAAGUGCAUAAAAAUAGAUUAUAUAAUAUAUAAUCUCUUUAUAUAUAUAUAUAUAUAUAUAUAUAUAUAUAUAUAUAUAUAUAUAUAUAUAUAUAUAAUAUAUAUAUAUAUAUAUAUAUAUAUAUAUAAAAUAUUAUAUAUAUAUAUAUUAUAUAUAUAUAUAUAUAAUUAAUAUAUAAAAUAUAUAUAUAUAUAUAUAUAUAUAUAUAUAUAUAUAUUAUAUUAUAUAUAUAUAUAUAUAUUAUAUAUUAUAUUAUAAAUAUAAUAUAAUAAUUAUAUAAUAUAUAUUAUAGUAUAUAUAAUAUAUAUCUAAUAUAAUAAUAUAUAUAUAUAUAUAAAUAGAUUAAUAUAUUAUAUAAUCUAUUUUUUAUGCACUUAUCUCUUUUUUAUUAUAUUUUAAUUUAUUUAAUUUUUUGUUUUAAAAUUAUAUGUUAAAUCUAAUAUAUUAUUUAAAUAUUAGUAUUUUUUAUUGUAAAAUAUAUGAUGAAGAAGUACUAUAUUAUUUAUUUUUAGAAAAUUGAAAGAUUCUUAAAUUAUUUGUGAGACACAAAAUAAAAGAUAAACAAUUUUUUUUUCAUUUUUAUUAUUAAGAAAUUACUGUAAGACAAAUAUAAAUAGUAUUUUAUAAAGUUUAUAAAAAUAAAAUAUGAGCAGGUAAGUUGUAUUUUGAAAACUUAUUCGCUGAGAUUUAAUAAAAAAAUAUUUAUAUUUGUUAUAUAAUUUACAUUAUUAAAAAUAAUAAUAAUAAAUUUAUAGUGAGUAAAUCAUUAUGAUGUUUUUUGAAAUAAACAAGGUUAUACUUAAAUAUCACAUUAUUGUAUUUUUGUAUUAGGUAAAUUUCAAACCGAAAACCUUUUAUAGAGAGUAACAAUAUGUUUUGAUCUUUUGAAAAUUGAAGAUGAAUUUUGAGAGUUGCCACGUGGAAAAAUAAAUGAUGUGGCAUAAAAGAAAUUGAAGUGUCGCAAGAUAGUUUGAUACACUGGAUUUAAUAUAUAUAAAAAUAAAUAGAUUCCACAUGUGGAAAAUUAAAUGAUGUGGCACAAAAGAAGUUGAAGUGUUGCAAAAUAGUUUGAUGCACUUGAUCUAAUUUUUUUUUUAUAUAUAUAUAUAUAUAUAUAUAUAUAUAUAUAUAUAUAUAUAUAUAUAUAUAUAUAUAUAUAUAUAUAUAUAUAUANNNNNNNNNNNNNNNNNNNNNNNNNNNNNNNNNNNNNNNNNNNNNNNNNNNNNNNNNNNNNNNNNNNNNNNNNNNNNNNNNNNNNNNNNNNNNNNNNNNNNNNNNNNNNNNNNNNNNNNNNNNNNNNNNNNNNNNNNNNNNNNNNNNNNNNNNNNNNNNNNNNNNNNNNNNNNNNNNNNNNNNNNNNNNNNNNNNNNNNNNNNNNNNNNNNNNNNNNNNNNNNNNNNNNNNNNNNNNNNNNNNNNNNNNNNNNNNNNNNNNNNNNNNNNNNNNNNNNNNNNNNNNNNNNNNNNNNNNNNNNNNNNNNNNNNNNNNNNNNNNNNNNNNNNNNNNNNNNNNNNNNNNNNNNNNNNNNNNNNNNNNNNNNNNNNNNNNNNNNNNNNNNNNNNNNNNNNNNNNNNNNNNNNNNNNNNNNNNNNNNNNNNNNNNNNNNNNNNNNNNNNNNNNNNNNNNNNNNNNNNNNNNNNNNNNNNNNNNNNNNNNNNNNNNNNNNNNNNNNNNNNNNNNNNNNNNNNNNNNNNNNNNNNNNNNNNNNNNNNNNNNNNNNNNNNNNNNNNNNNNNNNNNNNNNNNNNNNNNNNNNNNNNNNNNNNNNNNNNNNNNNNNNNNNNNNNNNNNNNNNNNNNNNNNNNNNNNNNNNNNNNNNNNNNNNNNNNNNNNNNNNNNNNNNNNNNNNNNNNNNNNNNNNNNNNNNNNNNNNNNNNNNNNNNNNNNNNNNNNNNNNNNNNNNNNNNNNNNNNNNNNNNNUAUAUAUACUCAUUUUUAUAAUUCAGAAAUUACAGUGAGAAAAAUAUGAAUAGUAUUUUAUAAAGUAUAUGAAAAUAAUAUAUAUGAGCAGAUAAGUUGAAUGUUGAAAAAUUAUUCGUAGAGAUUUAGCAAAAAUUUAAUUAUAUUUGUCUUAUAAUAUAUUUUAUUAAAAAUAAUAAUAUAAUUUUUGUUAUGAGUAAAUUAUUAUGAUAUUUUUUAAAAUAAACAAAGUUAAUAUUCAAAUAUCACAUUAUUGUAUUUUUGUAUCUGGCAGAAUUUGAAUCCAACACCUUUUAUAGAGAGUAACAAUAUAUUUUGAUUGUUAACCGUGGAGAAAUAUAUUGUAUCUUAUACCACUUUUAAUGCACUCUUUAUAUGUUGGGAUGAAAGAAAUUUAUUUUAAAGGAUGAAUGUUUGUUUUUUUAUAAUAAUUUAAGUAUAUCAUAAAGACAUAAUCAUUUGUUCAACAAAGAAGAAAUUAUAUCAUCUAGAGAAGAAUAGCAUCCCAAAAAGAAAAAAAAAAGGUUAUGUUUACCGAUGUUUUUGGUAAACAAUCACAACUUUUAAUUCACUUACAUGAUUAGAUUCGAAAAAACCAUAUUACAUAUUGUGUAGAAAACGGUCAGAGAAAAAUUGUUCAUGCUUAACAACUAAGUGUUUGAAUGUAAUCUAUUUGAGGAAAAUAUCAGAAACUAUAAAUGCGUAAUUGUUAGAAAAUAAAGGAAAUGGUAAAAGAAAUGAAGUGAAAUGCUUAAGUUAAAAAUGGGGAACAUAUUUAUAUAUUUUCUCACAAAUUCACUAACUUUGUAACUUGGAUGUUAGAAUUCUAUAGAGACUAAUAAUGAAAUUUGCAAACACUUGUUACAGAGAUUAAAUAAACUUAUAUACAAGUACAUCAGUAACCAUGGAAAACGGUCAAAUCUCCAGCAUUUGACAUGUAUAUUGCUACAUGGACUUCUAUCCUCUUUAUUGCUUCCACGUGUCUUCAAUCUUUGAACUGCAACAAAAUUGCCACUUCUGUCGAGAAAAAUUCACAAGUCCUUCAACUAUCUUUGUCAAGAAUCUUAAGUCGAAUCUUGUAAUCUUGGUUUCGAACCCCGUUUCAAUUACUUGCGCUUAGCCUAUGUAUUUAUCUCAUUCCUUUUUCCCUCUUGGACUUUUAACCCUGGAGAAAUGUAUCGUAUCUUAUACCACUUUUAAUACGCUAUUUAUAUGUUAGAAUGAAAGAAAUUUAUUUUAAAGGAUAAAUGUUUGUUUUUUUAUAAUAAUUUAAGUAUAUCAUAAAAACAUAAUCAUUUGUUCAACAAUGAAUAAAUUGUAUCAUCUAAAGAAGAAUUGUAUCCCAAAAAGAAAAAAGGUUAUGUUUACCGAUGUUUUUGGUAAGCAAUCACAACUUUUAAUUCAGUUAAAUGAUUAAACUCGAAAAAAUCAUAUUACAUAUUGUGUUGAAACGGUUUGAGAAAAAUUAUUCAUGCUUAACCACUCGGUGUUUGAAUGUAAACAAUUUGAAGAAAAUAUCAGAAAGUAUAAAUUCAUAAUUGUUAGAAGAUAAAGGAAAUGAUAAAAGAAAUGAAGUAAAAUGCUUAAGUUAAAAAUGGGGAGCAUAUUUAUAUAUGUUCCCAUAAAUUCACUAUCUUUGCAACUUGGAUGUUAGAAUUCUAUAGAGACUAAUAAUGAAAAUUACGGACACUUGUAACAUAGAUUAAAUAAACUUAUAUAUUAAGUAUAUCAGUAACCAUGGAAAAUGGUCAAAUCUCCAGUAUUUGACAUGUAUAUUGCUACAUGGCCUUUUGUCAUCUUCAUUGCUUCCAUGUGUAGUCAAUCUUUGAACUGCAACAAAAUUCCCACUUCUGUCGAGAAAAAUUCACAAGUCUUUCAACUAGUUUUGUCGAGAAUCCUUAGUCGAAUUUUGUAAUCUUGGUGUCGAACCAAGUUUCAGUUACUUGCACUUAGCCUAUGUAUUUAUCUCACCCCCUUUUUCGUCUUGAACUUUUAACUGUGGAGAAAUGUAUUGUAUCUUAUAUCACUUUUACUAUGCUCUUUAUAUGUUGGGAUGAAAGAAAUUUAUUUUAAAGGAUAAAUGUUUGUUUUUUAUAAUAAUUUAAGUAUAUCAUAAAAACAUAAUCAUUUGUUCAACCUAGAUUAAAUUGUAUCAUCUAGAGAAGAAUUGCAUCUCUAAAAGAAAAAAGGUUAUGUUUAUCGAUGUUUUUGGUAAACAAUCACAACUUUUAAUUCACUUACAUGAUUAAACUUGAAAAAAUCAUAUUACAUAUUAAGUAGAAACAGUUAGAGAGAAAUGUUCAUGCCUAACCACACGGUGUUUGAAUGUAAACAAUUUGAGGAAAAUAUCAUAAAGUAUAAAUGCGUAAUUCAAAGAAGAUAAAGGAAAUGAUAAAAGAAAUGAAGUGAAAUGCUAAAGUUAAAAAUGGGGAGCAUAUUUAUCUAUUUUCUCACAAAUUUACUAUCUUUGUAACUUGGAUGUUAGAAUUCUAUAAAGACUAAUAAUGAAAUUUGCGAACGCAUGUUACAAACAUUAAAUCAACUUAUAUACAAGUACAUCAAUAACCAUGGAAAACGGUCAAAUCUCCAGAAUUUGAUAUGUAUAGUUCUACAUGGGCUUCUACCCUUUUCAUUGCUUCCUUGUGUCUUAAAUCUUUGAACUGCAACAAAGUUCCCACUUUUGUCGAGAAAAAUUCACAAGUCCCUAAAUUACCUUCGUCGAGAAUCCUUAACCGAAUCUUGUAAUAUUGGUGUCGAACCAUGUUUCAAUUACUUACGCUUAGCCUAUGUAUUUAUCUCACCCCUUUUUUCCUCUUGGACUUUUAACCAUGGAGAAAUGUAUUGUAUCUUAUAUCACUUUUACUACACUCUUUAUAUGUUGGGAUAAAAGAAGUUUAUUUUAAAGGAUAAAUGUUUGUUUUUUUAUAAUAAUUUAAGUAUAUCAAAAAACAUAAUCAUUUAUUCAACAAUGAAUAAAUUAUAUCAUCUAGAGAAGAAUUGCAUCCCCAAAAGAAAAAAGGUUAUGUUUACCGAUGCUUUUGGUAAACAAUCACAACUUUUAAUACACUUAUAUGAUUAAACUCGAAAAAUAUCAUAUGACAUAUUGUGUAGAAACGGUUUGAGAAAAAUUGUUCAUGCUUAACCACUCACUGUUUGAUUGUAAACAAUUUGAGGAAAAUAUCAGAAAGUAUAAAUGUGUAAUUGUUAGAAGAUUAAGGAAAUGAUAAAAGAAAUGAAGUGAAAUGCUUAAGUUAAAAAUGGGGAGCAUAUUUAUAUAUUUUCUCAUAAAUUCACUAUCUUUUUAACUUGGAUGUUAGAAUUCUAUAGAGACUAAUAAUGAAAAUUGUGAACGCUUGUUACAGAGAGUAAAUCAACUUAUAUACAAGUACAUCAGUAACCAUGGAAAAUGGUAAAAUCUCCCGCAUUUGACAUGUAUAGUGCUACAUGACCUUCUAUCCUCUUCAUUGCUUCCACGUGUCUUCAAUCUUUGAACUGCAACAAAAUUGCCAGUUUUGUCAAGAAAAAUUUACAAGUCCUUCAACUAUCUUUGUCGAGAAUCCUUAGUCGAAUCUUGUAAUCUUGGUGUCAAACCAUGUUUCAAUUACUUGCGUUUAGCCUAUGUAUUUAUCUCACCCCCUUUUUCCUCUUGGACUUUUAACCGUGGAGAAAUGUAUUGUAUCUUAUAUCACUUUAACUACGCUUUUUAUAUGUUGGGAUGAAAGAAAUUUAUUUUAAUGGAUAAAUAUUUGUUUUUUUAUAGUAAUUUACAUAUAUCAUAAAUACAUAAUCAUUUGUUCAACAAAGAAGAAAUUGUAUCAUCUAGUGAAGAAUUGCAUCCCAAAAAAGAAAAAAAGGUUAUGUAUAUCGAUGUUUUUGGUAAACAAUCACAACUUUUAAUUCACUUACAUGAUUAAACUCGAAAAAAUCAUAUUAAAUAUUGUAAAGAAACGGUUAGAGAAAUAUUUUUCAUGCUUAACCAGUCAGUGUUUGAAUGUAAAUUUUUUGAGGAAAAUAUCAGAAAGUAUAAAUGAAUAAUUGUUAGGAGAUAAAGGAAAUGAUAAAAUAAAUGAAGUAAAAUGCUUAAGUUAAAACUGGGGAGCUUAUUUAUAUAUUUUCUCAAAAAUUCACUAUCUUUGUAACUUGGAUGUUAGAAUUCAAUAAAGACUAAUAAUGAAAAUUGUGAAUGCUUGUUACAGUGAUUAAAUCAACUUAUAUAGAAGUACAUCAGUAACCAUGGAAAACGGUCAAAUCUCUAGCAUUUGACAUGUAUAGUGCUACAUGGCAUUCUAUCCUCUUCAUUGCUUCCAUGUGUCUUCAAUCUUUGAACUGCAACAAAAUUCACACUUCUGUCGAGAAAAAUUCACAAGUCCUUAAACUACCUUUGUCGAGAAUCCUUAGCCGAAUCUCGUAAUCUUGGUGUCGAACCAUGUUUCAAUUACUUGCGCUUAGCCUAUGUAUUUAUCUCACCCCUUUUUCCUCUUGGACAUUUAACCGUGUAGAAAUGUAUUGUAUCUUAUAUCACUUUUACUGCACUCUUUAUAUUUUUGGAUGAAAAAAGUUUAUUUUAAAGGAUAAAUGUUUUGAUCUUUUGAAAAUUGAAGAUGAAUUUUCAGAGAUGCCACAUGGAAAAAUAAAUGAUGUGGCAUAAAAUAAAUUGAAGUGUCGUAAGAUAGUUUGAUACAUUGGAUUUAAUAUAAUAUAUAUAUAUAUAUAAUAGAUAGAUUCCACAUAUGAGAAAUUAAAUGAUGUGGCACAAAAGAAGUUAAAGUGUUGCAAGAUAGUUUGAUUCACAAAAAAAUCAAAUAUUUGGCCUUUUGUUCUUUUUCAUUUAAACCUUUGUUAAAAUCAAUUCACCAACUUCUUUGUAAUUUUUUCCACGAACUACGGGGUUUUGAUCCCUCAUUUUUAUGUUGGUACGUAGGCAUAAGAUCAAAGGUCUUGUCAAACACAAAAAUAUAAUCAAUGAAUUUUUUUCUCAUCCCCACACUCUUUAUUUUAUCAAACAUCAUUUAGACCAAAAAAAAAUAUGCACUCAAAAAGGGCUCCCUAGGAGUACCUAGGACACUUUGGGUGAUAAUACCUUCCUGUCAUACCCCAAUUUUGUCCGGGCAUUUAUAAACUUUCAUAAAUUCGAUUUUAUUUUCAGUUUGCAUCAACUGUAUAGCAUGACAUGCAUUUCAUCGUGAAUAAUACCUAAAAAUAUCAGUCGGAAUAAACUCUCGGAUAUACAGACAAAAGGGACAUUCUUUUAUGUUUUGAAGGAUUUUAUUAAUUCUCGUACAUGGAUCGGCUAGUUCUGAUCAGAUCAUAUCAGACAUUCUACAUUUGACAAGUUAACCACACCACUUGAAGUCGUAGAUUUUAAUUUUUACUAAAUGGCCGAAGCCGAUUGGGCCAGAGGUUUCAUUAAAUGUUACCCGGUCAAAGCCAAUUAUGCCAGAGGCUUUAAGUGCGCUUGGACUUUAGUUAGGCCAGAGGUUUUAUUAAAUUUUACUCGAUCGAAGUCGAUUUUUCCUGAGGCUUCAAGUGCACUUGGACUUCAGUUAUGCCAAUUUUUUUAUUAAACGUUAUCCGGUCGAAGCCGAUUAGACCAGAGGUUUCAAGUGCGCUUAGACUUCAGUUAGGCCAGAGAUUUUACUAAACCCAAUUUUUCCCUUCAUUCAAUAAAUUAAUACAGUUAUCAUGACAUUUGCAUCACCUAUACAUCAUAACAUGUAUUUCAUCUUGCAUAAUGCCUAAAAUGUCAACCAGAGUAAUUUUUUGGAUCUACAGGCAGACUGAUGAAUCAGUUUUCAAAUAUGCUUCAAAAUAACGGCAAAAGAUUUCAUUCUCCAACUUGUAGACAUCAGUUUUAUUAAUCUAUGGUUCGCGUAGUUUAAUCUGUUGUGCUCGAUUUAUUUUUCAGAUAAGUUUUCAGUCACAUUUUAAUCCGUCUGAUUGUUUUAACCAGACAUUUUCCAAUUCAAAAUCUGACAAAAACCUGUAUGUUUUCAAGAAGUUUAUUUCGCACCGAUCAUUUUGGUGCAUUCAAUUUAAUUUUUCGAGGACUUUUGCGCCCGAUUUUUAUUCAUUUUAAAUCCAUUUAUUUUUAUUCUUUUGUCAAAAGAUUCAGAAAUAUUAAAUAGGAUUGUCCAUGUCACCAUUUUUAUUUUAUCAUAGAUAUUUUUAAAGAGGUGAAUUUUUAUUUCCUUUAAUUAAUUUAAUUUGUUGUUGGUAAGUUAAAGCAUCUAGAAGGAGCAAUUUUGUCAUUUUAAAUUAGUUGUGUGACAACUCUUUAGAAAAUUGAAAAAAUAUUUUCCAUUUAAAUGUCAGCAAAAUAUACUCAUGAAUAAACAAUAAUUUUUCUCUCUCACAAGUAAGCUGCCCCAACGGUUCUCUCUUCCUCUCACGUAACUAGCAAGGAUAAAAAGUCUGAUCAUUUAAUGAUACCCUCUCUCCACACAUUUCAACAUGUGAUUGGUGGAAAGGAUUUUUCAAAUUUUGAGUAUAUGCACUAAAAAACAAAAAGAGAAUGGGAAUAAAAGGGGUUUACACACAAACACGAGAGAUACAAUUGACUGAGGAUUCUCAAUGGUGAAUGGUUUUUCUGAAAAAGAAACACUCCCCCCUAUUAAUCUCCCCUUCCCUCAAAUAUACUCUCUCAGAACUUGAAAUAAAAGACAACUUCUUCUUCGUGAUAAACAAAACCCCUGUUGUGGCUUCCUUCUGCUCACCAUCAUCAACACUUUCCCAGCUCCAAAAAGUCAUCCCCUGUUAACCUCCUCUUUGUUCGUCUCAGGCCACCAUAACACUCACCCACCGCUCAAACAUUCUCACUCCCAAAAUGUUUUCGUGUCACAUAUCUCCAUGACACGACACUUGCAACUCCAAUUCCACUACAUCAUUGCUCACCAAAAUCCAUUCCAACCAUGACAAUAUCCCUUCACAUGAAACUCAAACUCUAUAACUCAAACCUUCUAACCACCCACAACAAAGCUCACAGAUCCAUUUCACCUCAUCUAUGACCUCCUUCAAACCCUCUUCAACUGCAAGUUGCUCAGUCUUUAUCAUCAUUACCGUGUGCAGCAACGCUCGACACUUUAAGCUCAGUACGCAAAGCAAUCGAAUGUGUGGCGAGAUCAACAUUAUUCAUUGAGGUUAAAGGGGUGUUUCAAUUCUGUUAACUUUUUUUAUCUUAUUCCAACUCUGUUUCGAUUUUUCUAUUUGCGUGUAUCAUGUCGGUAUAUUUAGUCUUAUUAUUUUUUAUGGUUGAUAUGUAUGCUACAAAGUUUGUUUUUGUUUUGCUUUCAAAGUGUUAUGAUUUUUGUAUGUCUCAGUUUUAUUUCGAUUUUAGUAAGCUUUUUCUGUGUUAAUAUCAUGCCAUGUUUGUUUUAUUGGAAAGAUUAUUACAUAAUGUUCAAUCGAUGGAGCCUUUCAUGCUCGAUUUUUCCCGAUGGUUUUGCUGUUCUUUUUGAACUUGGACUUUCAUUUAUCAGUUUUGUUUUCAUCAUGUGUGAACCAGGAAUUUGAUUCUGAGCUUGUUUUCCAUUUGUUUUAAUUUGUUUUUUUGCUGGAGCGGUUCUUUUGCAUUCCUAUUUCCUGCACAUUGGUUUUCUAUUCAAAAACGCUAUUGGUUGUGUUAAUACUUUAGCUACUUUAUUCAUUUCCUUUUAUGUUUGUUCAGAAGAAAGAUAAUGAAAGAGAUAGCUAAAAAAUACAGAAUUAAGAGAGGUGGAGUGUCAACUGUUUUUGUUUAGGACUGUGUUAAUUAAGUUCAUUUUUUAUAAAAUAUAUCUCAUGUGUCUGACUACAGUCGAUUAUGUUCUUUUUGUCUAAAUUUUGAAAAAAAGUUAACAACUUAUAAAUUACUGCUAUUAUUAUUAUAACUAGUAAAGGACCCGUGCGUUCGCACGGGUCGCGCAAAUGCAAUAAUUUAUUUAAAAAAAAUUAAAAUAUAAUAUAUUUUUUUAUUUAUAUAUA